CUCCCCCCUCCCCGGGCGCAGGGCACAGAGUGAGGAACCGUCCCCCCGGGGGGAGGCAGGGAGCGGGUCUGCUGGCUCUCCGCGUCCCAGAGACCAGACACCCUCGGGCCUUGGAGCCCGGAUGAGAAACGUGUCUGGAGUGUUCCGGGGGCCCCGACUCCCACGGGCCUUCCGCUUCAGACGGGGCGGGUUCAUCCUUCCUUGGGCAGCAAUUUCCCCUCUCACUCCCGCUGCCUUGGCGCUGGUGAGGCGGGGAACAGCCCCCAGACUGGCUCACCGGCGGUGGCUGACCAAGAGCCAUGAGCAGAUGAGGAAACUGCCGGAGACACUCAGUAGUCACCCAUCUAAAGAUUUCCAGAAAAGUCGCCAAGAUAACGUAGAGAUCUUCGUGGCGUUGGCUCCAGUGUCGCCAUUUCAAGUUUCCAUGGUACAUUUGUCACGACUAAGAAACCGACACUGACACCAAAUUAUCGAUUAAGCUCCAGAUUUUGUUUGGAUUUCACUCCUUUCCCCGCUAAUAUCCUUUUUCUGUUCCAGGAUAUCGCAUUGCACUGAAGACUAAAUAGUUUAUAAAGUUUAGAAAGUCCCCUCCCAGUUCCAAAAGCAAAGAGACAAUAGGCCUUCACGGUGAAGUAAGAGCUCUGGGUGUGUUCAUGAGCAAACGAAGGCUGUGCUGUGCGACUUUGGGCAAAUCCCUUACCUUCUCUGAACCUCAGGCUCUUCAUCUGUAAAAAGGGGACAAUAGCGGUACUGCUCGAUAGGGCUGCUGUGAGGUGAUCACUUGUUAAUUUACGUGAGGCACUCUUCAAGGCGCUCAGUAUGCUCUGAGCCGUCUGUUGAUAAAUCUCAACUGGUAGAAAUCACAGCCCAAAACCAGGACUGCUCCAGCAUGCUUAUGCUUCCUGGCAGAAAAUGCCCCAGCAAAAUGGCUGCUCCAAAAAGAAGACAUGUCACGGGCCUAACACGUCAGACUCAAUUUGCAAAGCCCAGGACGGGAAUGGACAAAGACCUACAGUUACCAGGCCCAGGUUGGAGUCUGACAUACCACUCCUGCCACAGGACCUCAGGCAGCCUGUCCAACCUCUGGAACUCAGCAUCCCCAUCUGUUAAAUGGGAACAAAUCGCCCACCUUACAGGGUUGCCGAGAGAGAGAAUGAGGUGCGUGCCAUAAAACAUCCAGGAAGAUUGAGGUGUGAUGUUUGGCUACAUCUUUCUCUUCUGCGCCUUCUAGGAACCACCAAGUCAUUGACUGCGCUGGGGAUCAUUAGAGAAAUCCACCAAAAUCUGAUACGGGCAGUUGUGGGGCGUUGGUAAGGAGAUCCCACUCCUCUAUUUUUUGAGGAGAAGGAAGGGGGUGAUUUACUAAGCACUCACUUUCCCUGUCCCAGCCAGAGCUCUGCUGACAAGCCAGUUCCAUAAUCCUCGUCCCUACAAUGCCUUUCCUCGUCCAGAGUAAAGUUAGACGGGGAACCCAAUCACUCUGCUGGACUGUUUUAAAAGGAAGCACGAAACUAUUCCCAUGGUCAGUCUGACAAGGAUCCUUAUAGGACCUGUUUUCACAGAAUCACAGAACCGUUCGGUUUUCACAAAACAGCAGCUGAAGGGACAGAAGAAAUCAAGGAGUAUCACUCCCCUUUAAAGACAAGCAAAUAAAAGGGCGCCCGGUGACUCAGUUGUUUGGGCUUCUGACUCUGGAUUUCGGCUCAGGUCAUGAUCCCAGGGUCGUGGGAUCGACACCGAGCGUGGAGCCUGCUUAAGAUUCUCUCUCUCCCUCUGCCCCUCUCCCUCGUUCAUGCUCUCUCUCUUUCUUUCAAAUUAAAAUAUAUAUAAAGAUGAGCAAAUAAGAACCACAGUGGCAGAUCUGCUUCUUCAAAGGCAUACAGCAGAAGGGGUUCAGAGUUAGAACGAUACCCCAGUCACAAGAUUUCUGCUUCCCUGCUCAUGGUUCCCUGAGCUACCAGAAGACACCCAUGCAUCCAACAUCCAUUCAUCCACCUGUCCAUCUGUGUUGACAUUGGACACCUUCCUUGUGGCAAGCACUGCUCUGGGUUCUGGAGAGCCAAGGCUGAACAAGACGGUCACAGUCCCUGACCCCAGGGCGCUUCCCAUUCCAUGAGCUAGGAGGACGGAGGUGGGGUCAUCUGUUUGCCAAGGGUCUACAGUGCCUGGCGCACGGUAGGUACACAGUAAGUGUUUAUUGAUUUAUGUAUCUCUCACCUUGUGGGACGCUCCUACCUUUAUGACUGAUGUGCUGGGUUGUUGUGACGAGACUAGUGGGGUAAAGUCUCAGUAUUUGUAACUAUCUCAAACCACCUUCUCCACUCAUCAUUCUACCGGAAGACUUCAUGGGACAGUGUGCAGACACAACAACAACAACGUUGAGCAAGGAGUCCAAAGACCCAAGUUCGAGUCCCAGCUCCGAGCUGCUUACUCCUGAGUAACGACUGAAAGGCACUCACGCCUCAGUGUUCUCGUCUACAAAAUGGAGCAAAUAAUAUUUGACUUGCCUAUUUCACUCAGCUGCUGGGAUUAUAAAAGGGGGAAGGGAACUGGGUGGGGGAGGGAAAGAGUAACACUUCUAGAAAGUUCCACUAUGAGUAAAAGGUUAUGGAGAUGUUACUUGAAUGAUUUGCUCAUUCAUUGAGAACACAAGGGGAAUUACAAAUGAUCAGCUUCCCAGCCAGUGUUUGCACACUCUUGUUCCAAACUUCUAUAAUGGGACUGGUUGAAAUCGCCCCUGAUUUGUCCCUACCUUUGAAGAGAUUACAUUCAUGUAUCUGCGGCAUCACAUGUCACCCCAGCCAAUCCUGACCCAUGUUUCUCUCCAUUCGAUGCAUGUAACAACAGUACUCAGAGGUGUUGUAACCUUAAUUGCUUGCAAAGUGUUUUGAAAUCCUUAGAUUAAAAAGCUCAGGGAAGUCCAAAGUAUUACCUCUCUGUGUGCCCAGGGAGCUAGGCCGAGCUUCGUCUGGAUUUGUGGGAGCAAGGAGACACGACAAUGCAGAUUCUGAGGCUCCAGGAACUUUGGGGUUUAAGGGUCCUAUUCCUGGGAUGGCCCCAGACCAACCCCCAGCUUCCUAAGUUUCUAAGCUACUCAGGCAUUUGGCCAUUCCCCCCCCCCCCCCCCCCCCCCCGCGCUGCCUCUGAUGUGUUUUUUCCAUUUCUUUUAAGUUCCUGGGUCACGAGGCCUGAGUUGCAUUUACUUUGGUGUCAUAGGUCUCCGUUCUUGGGUGAUCUCAGCCUGAGUCCUAGAAAAAGGCAAUUGUGUCAUCUGUAACUUCUGUAUGCCUUUCCAUUUAAACUUAGAACUCAUUUCUUCCAUUCUAAUUUUUACUGUUAAAAGAGGAGUCACAAUUCUGCCCCAUGGGAGUGACCCUCGGGAGUGUGGGGGUGGGGGCGGGGCAGGGGUAUCCCUUAGGAACUGAAAGGGACGGGGAGACGUUCCUGGGAUCCGGGCAGUCUUUUGUGAUCUGGAUCCGACCUCUGGUUCUGCCACUGUCUUCCUGUUGGGUUUGUGAAAAUUCAGAGCUGAACACUUUCGUGUGCAUUUUUCUGCAGAUUUGUUACACUUUACAACCUAAAGUUUUUUUCUUUUUUAAAUCACUCUCGAUGCUAAUUUAUUUCAUUUAAAAUCGAUUCUGAUGGAACAGUGAAGGUAUUAACCCAAUAAAAAUCCUUUCUCUCUUUGCCUUUGUGUUUCAAAAUAAUGCCUUUAGUUUUUCCAUCCUUUAUUUCCAUUUUUACACUUACGGUGGGGGGAGGAAAUGUCUCAACUGGCCAUUUUAACUAAGCCGAAUGCCCCAGUGGGGCGGGGAGGCUACAUCCCAGCAGGAAGUUUGGGAUGCCCUCAGGGUCACAGGAAGACCUCAAAGUUCUGGUGGAUUUGCAUACACAUCUAUACUUUUCUAAGUGUCCAUAGCUUUCAUCAAAAAAAGCCAGAGGGAUUCUUCCAACUCAAGCCUUAUUUAUGUUUGCUCCUCUUUAAUGUCUCUCUCUCGGCCCUCGCCACCCUGAUGUCACCAAACCGGCUUCACCCAUCAAAGUGAAUUUGCCCACUUCAAUGGAAAAAGUGAAAGGGUUCUACUCUGCCAAAGGUCAUGCAUAAUAAUCAUCUGUUUACUUCUGUGUGUCCCCUGUGAUAUUCCAAACCCUGCGGCCAGAGACCUUUGCAUCCCCAGCAUGAAAUUGCACAAGGCAAAGGCAGAUUGGACUCCCAAGAAAUGCACUGCGCCUAUUUACGAAACCCGAUUUAUUAAAAUUUCUCUACAAGUCAGAAACGGUCGUCUCACUGUUCACAUAUAUACACAUGUACAGGAAGGAUCUAGUGUUUCGAGCUUUCCCGGCAGAAGCCCCAGCCAGCCCAGAGUCCUCAGCCGGGUAACGUAUCACAGAUACAACAGUCGAGCAACCACGAGCGCGUUAGUGCGACAAGAGGCCUCUGCCCUCCCUCUUCUCUGAGUCCCAUGAUUCUGUCAAGGUAAUAUUGCCAAUAAUCAUUCACAUUUCACGUGGUUUUAGACACGCAGGUUAUUCAGACAGACACAGACAACAAACCAAGCCUCAGAGCCAAAACAACAACACAUAUCGGACAACAGGUAUAAAAGGUAGAA